rnacentral:rRNA from 1 species
GACGAACGCUGGCGGCGUGCUUAACACAUGCAAGUCGAACGGAAAGGCCCUGCUUUUGUGGGGUGCUCGAGUGGCGAACGGGUGAGUAACACGUGAGUAACCUGCCCUUGACUUUGGGAUAACUUCAGGAAACUGGGGCUAAUACCGGAUAGGAGCUCCUGCUGCACGGUGGGGGUUGGAAAGUUUCGGCGGUUGGGGAUGGACUCGCGGCUUAUCAGCUUGUUGGUGGGGUAGUGGCUGACCAAGGCUUUGACGGGUAGCCGGCCUGAGAGGGUGACCGGCCACAUUGGGACUGAGAUACGGACCAGACUCGUACGGGAGGCAGCAGUGGGGAAUAUUGCACAAUGGGCGGAAGCCUGAUGCAGCAACGCCGCGUGCGGGAUGACGGCCUUCGGGUUGUAAACCGCUUUCGCCUGUGACGAAGCGUGAGUGACGGUAAUGGGUAAAGAAGCAUCGGCUAACUACGUG